rnacentral:lncRNA from 1 species
CCAAGUAGUGUUUUUCUCUCAUAAUAAAUAAUCGAACAAUAUUUUCAGCCAUGACUUUUCAGAUCAGCGAACAGGUUUGCAAAGUAACUUUUUCCUUUCAUCAUCCCUCACCUUUAUUUUCUCUUAUUUUUCUUUUUUAGUAUGGACCAAGUAGCUUUUGCAAGCCACUAGCUAUGACAAAUUUAGAGCACCUAUUUUUUUAUUCGAUCUUACAUAUUCACUGGUC